GCCCUUCAAUCACCAAAGCAGGGCUGGAACACAGCAGGCAAGAACAACAGUGACAAGAGAUGGGUCUGAGAAAAUCAGCAAGGCCUGGGCCAUGGAUGAUCCUGAGUCCAAGCUGAGGCGUUUGUUAUUUUUAUCUUUAGGGCACUGAGAAGCUACGGGAAUUUUUUAUCCAGAGAAUAACAUGAUCAGGGUGCCUCUUGUGGCACAGGAGGAGGGAUGAGGGAAGGAGAGAUGCUACGUAGGAAGACUGUCAAGGAGCUGUUGUAAUGGCUCAGGAGGAGGCUGUGCAGAUGAAAGCAAUGGAAGUGAUGGGAAACAUA
rnacentral:lncRNA from 10 species